CAAUAGCGUAUAUUUAAGUUGUUGCAGUUAAAAAGCUCGUAGUCGGAUUUUGGCUGAGAACGAUCGGUCCGCCGUUAGGUGUGCACUGAUUGGUCUCAGCUUCCUGGUGAGGAGGUGUGCUUCACGGCCACUUAGUCACCGUGGUUACUUUGAAAAAAUUAGAGUGUUCAAAGCGGGCUUACGCUUGAAUAUAUUAGCAUGGAAUAACACCAUAGGACUCCUGUCCUAUUUCGUUGGUCACGGGACGGGAGUAAUGAUUAAGAGGAACAGUUGGGGGCAUUCGUAUUUCAUUGUCAGGGGUGAAAUUCUUGGAUUUAUGAAAGACGAACUUCUGCGAAAGCAUUUGCCAAGGAUGUUUUCAUUGA
rnacentral:rRNA from 1 species